rnacentral:rRNA from 1 species
CGGAGAAGAGCGGCGGACGGGUGAGUAACGCGUGGGUAACCUGCCUCAUACACAUCGGAUAACAUACCGAAAGGUAUGCUAAUACAGGAUAAUAUAAGAGGUUCACAUGGAUUCUUAUCAAAGCUCCGGCGGUAUGAGAUGGACCCGCGUCUGAUUAGCUAGUUGGCAAGGUAACGGCUUACCAAGGCGACGAUCAGUAGCGACCUGAGAGGGUGAUCGGCCACAUUGGAACUGAGACACGGUCCAAACUCCUACGGGAGGCAGCAGCGGGGAAUAUUGCACAAUGGGCGAAAGCCUGAUGCAGCAACGCCGCGUGAGUGAUGAAGGGCCUUCGGGUCGUAAAACUCUGUCCUCAAGGAAGAUAAUGACGGUACUUGAGGAGGAAGCCCCGGCUAACUACGUGCCAGCCGCCGC